rnacentral:rRNA from 1 species
GACGAACGCUGGCGGCGUGCUUAACACAUGCAAGUCGAGCGGUAAGGCCCUUUCGGGGGUACACGAGCGGCGAACGGGUGAGUAACACGUGGGUGACCUGCCCUCAGCUCUGGGAUAAGCCCGGGAAACCGGGUCUAAUACCGGAUAUGACCUCAUGACGCAUGUUGUGGAGCGGAAAGCCUUGUGCGGCUGAGGAUGGGCCCGCGGCCUAUCAGCUUGUUGGUGGGGNGAUGGCCUACCAAGGCGACGACGGGUAGCCGGCCUGAGAGGGCGACCGGCCACACUGGGACUGAGAUACGGCCCAGACUCCUACGGGAGGCAGCAGUGGGGAAUCUUGCGCAAUGGGCGAAAGCCUGACGCAGCGACGCCGCGUGAGGGAUGACGGCCUGGUGUAAC